rnacentral:tRNA from 1 species
GGUGGCUCAGUAGUAGAGCGCUUGCCUUGAAUGCAUGAGGCUCUGGGUUCGAUUCCUGAGCACCA